rnacentral:snRNA from 1 species
GUGCUUGCUUCGGCAGCACGUAUACUAAACCAUACAGAGAAAAUUAGCAUGGCCCCUGCGCAAAUUCGUGAAGUGUUCCAUAGUUUA